rnacentral:rRNA from 1 species
GCCGGCAGCUAGCUCAAUGCAACUCUCAAAUGGUUGCCCACUGAAGAUAAGCAGGGCUGCGCUCGGUCAGUACCUGGAUUGGAAACCACAUGGGAAAGCUAGGUUGCAGUCAGCG